AGUGGCGCACGGGUGCGGAACGCGUAUGGAACCUGCCCCUGUCAGGGGAAUAGCCCAUGGAAACGUGGAUUAAUGCCCCAUGGUACCUCUUUAUUGCAUGAUAGGGAGGUUAAAGAUUUAUCGGACAGGGAUGGCCAUGCGUACCAUUAGCUAGUUGGUAGGGUAACGGCCUACCAAUGCAACGAUGGUUAGGGGCCCUGAGAGGGGGAUCCCCCACACUGGUACUGAGACACGGACCAGACUCCUACGGGAGGCAGCAGUGAGGAAUAUUGGACAAUGGUCGGAAGACUGAUCCAGCCAUGCCGCGUGCAGGAUGACGGCCCUAUGGGUUGUAAACUGCUUUUGUACGGGAAGAAACCCAGGUACGUGUACCUGGUUGACGGUACCGUAAGAAUAAGGACCGGCUAACUCCGUGCCAGCAGCCGCGGUAAUACGGAGGGUCCGAGCGU
rnacentral:rRNA from 1 species